GGAAGAUGGCAGAAAGCAGGGGAUUAGUAUAACCAUGAACUAGAGGGAGGUCAACGGUCUGGAACUCCACCCUCAAGAGGGAAAGGGUUCCCGAUCCCAAAGUUUGCUUUUUGUUUUCAGCUGAAGACGUCAGGCACUGGAUUGAUGAAAAUAUGCAGAAUGCUGACUAAAUCUCAGCUUGAACAAGGGUGGGUAGAAAGAGUCAUUACCGUGUAUGAAAUGCUGCUGAAAUGUUUCCUUGGUGAGAAAAGUCAACAGAAGGGCUCAUGUCCUUGUCAUUGCCCUGAGCAGUUCUCGCUCAGCAUGCAGCAGUCUGCUGGUCAGCACUGGGAUCUGUUUCUUCUCUCAUGAAAGGAGAGUGAAGUACUCUAGGUCUUGGCUGCCCAUAUCAGCUCAGAGAAGGGCCACUGUGCUUUCCUAAGAGGCUUCGGUUGUUCUGAAUAUUUCUCAGUGGUCCUCGAAAUGCAAAGCCACUGUCCUAAGAUGAAAGUUCACUUCACAGGAACCAAGGGAAGACAUGACGUCUGCUUAGAUACUUCUCCUAAGCAGGAGAAAAGAUAAUCAAAGCUUGUAGCUUAAUUAGGGCUAUUUCCAUCUGAACAGCACCCUGCAGAGUCACCUGCAGUAACUUUUCCACCUGGAACUAACUUUUACUUCAGAGUCCACCCAAUGGAGGAUCCUGGAACUCCAGAACUAAAGGAACCCAAUUUGUUUCAUUAUAUAUCUCAUUUAUUUAUUUAUUUCAUUGAUUCAUGUAAUACUAAGUAUUUACAUAAGAGGUAUGGUAUUUUCAUUGUCUAUAAAUCAUAUCACCUGUGUUGGUUACUCUUCUCAUUGCUGAGACAAAAUACCUGACACCCAAAGUUAAAGGGGGAAAGGCUUACUUAGCUCACAGUUUGUAGAGUUUUCCAUUCAUAAUCCGCUGGCUCCAAGGCAGAGUGGUGCAUGGCAGAGGGGCAACUGUUCAUGGAGGCAGAAGACAACAAAAGCAAACAAACAAGGAGGAGGAGGGGCAACAAGCCUCUUCGUGUACUUAUAUUGUAUUCAGUCUACCAGGAUUAGAGUGGUGCCAGUCCAAUCUGUGGACAGAUCCAGCAAUCACCCACCCUUAAUUCCAGCACCCUUAAUCCCAGCAUUGAACCACGAAUCAGUCACAAAUUCUAGAUUCAGCUAUCUCCAAAAAGCCCAAUCUAAAAGUGCAUGAGGCUUUGGGGCAACAUCUAGACACAAACCACGACACAUCCCAUUCAUUUUAAAUCAAUGCCAUAUAUUUCUGCAAGCUGAAGGCAGAUCUUGCGAGGUCAGUG
rnacentral:lncRNA from 1 species